UACGAAGGGGGCUAGCGUUGCUCGGAAUUACUGGGCGUAAAGGGCGCGUAGGCGGCUUUUCAAGUCGGGCGUGAAAUCUCCGGGCUUAACCCGGAAGGGUCGUUCGAUACUGUUGAGCUAGAGUGUGGAAGAGGCAACUAGAAUUCCGUGUGUAGCGGUGAAAUGCGUAGAUAUACGGAGGAAUACCUGAGGCGAAGGCGGGUUGCUGGGCCAACACUGACGCUGAGGCGCGAAAGCCAGGGGAGCAAACGGG
rnacentral:rRNA from 1 species